GAUGAACGCUGGCGGCGUGCCUAAUACAUGCCAGUCGAGCGAACAGACGAGGAGCUUGCUCCUCUGACGUUAGCGGCGGACGGGUGAGUAACACGUGGAUAACCUACCUAUAAGACUGGGAUAACUUCGGGAAACCGGAGCUAAUACCGGAUAAUAUAUUGAACCGCAUGGUUCAAUAGUGAAAGACGGUUUUGCUGUCACUUAUAGAUGGAUCCGCGCCGCAUUAGCUAGUUGGUAAGGUAACGGCUUACCAAGGCAACGAUGCGUAGCCGACCUGAGAGGGUGAUCGGCCACACUGGAACUGAGACACGGUCCAGACUCCUACGGUAGGCAGCAGUAGGGAAUCUUCCGCAAUGGGCGAAAGCCUGACGGAGCAACGCCGCGUGAGUGAUGAAGGUCUUCGGAUCGUAAAACUCUGUUAUUAGGGAAGAACAAAUGUGUAAGUAACUAUGCACGUCUUGACGGUACCUAAUCAGAAAGCCACGGCUAACUACGUG
rnacentral:rRNA from 1 species